rnacentral:rRNA from 1 species
CCUGCUUCCAGGAAAAGCCUCUAAGCAUCAGGUAACAUCAAAUCGUACCCCAAACCGACACAGGUGGUCAGGUAGAGAAUACCAAGGCGCUUGAGAGAACUCGGGUGAAGGAACUAGGCAAAAUGGUGCCGUAACUUCGGGAGAAGGCACGCUGAUAUGUAGGUGAAGUCCCUCGCGGAUGGAGCUGAAAUCAGUCGAAGAUACCAGCUGGCUGCAACUGUUUAUUAAAAACACAGCACUGUGCAAACACGAAAGUGGACGUAUACGGUGUGACGCCUGCCCGGUGCCGGAAGGUUAAUUGAUGGGGUUAGCGCAAGCGAAGCUCUUGAUCGAAGCCCCGGUAAACGGCGGCCGUAACUAUAACGGUCCUAAGGUAGCGAAAUUCCUUGUCGGGUAAGUUCCGACCUGCACGAAUGGCGUAAUGAUGGCCAGGCUGUCUCCACCCGAGACUCAGUGAAAUUGAACUCGCUGUGAAGAUGCAGUGUACCCGCGGCAAGACGGAAAGACCCCGUGAACCUUUACUAUAGCUUGACACUGAACAUUGAGCCUUGAUGUGUAGGAUAGGUGGGAGGCUUUGAAGUGUGGACGCCAGUCUGCAUGGAGCCGACCUUGAAAUACCACCCUUUAAUGUUUGAUGUUCUAACGUUGACCCGUAAUCCGGGUUGCGGACAGUGUCUGGUGGGUAGUUUGACUGGGGCGGUCUCCUCCUAAAGAGUAACGGAGGAGCACGAAGGUUGGCUAAUCCUGGUCGGACAUCAGGAGGUUAGUGCAAUGGCAUAAGCCAGCUUGACUGCGAGCGUGACGGCGCGAGCAGGUGCGAAAGCAGGUCAUAGUGAUCCGGUGGUUCUGAAUGGAAGGGCCAUCGCUCAACGGAUAAAAGGUACUCCGGGGAUAACAGGCUGAUACCGCCCAAGAGUUCAUAUCGACGGCGGUGUUUGGCACCUCGAUGUCGGCUCAUCACAUCCUGGGGCUGAAGUAGGUCCCAAGGGUAUGGCUGUUCGCCAUUUAAAGUGGUACGCGAGCUGGGUUUAGAACGUCGUGAGACAGUUCGGUCCCUAUCUGCCGUGGGCGCUGGAGAACUGAGGGGGGCUGCUCCUAGUACGAGAGGACCGGAGUGGACGCAUCACUGGUGUUCGGGUUGUCAUGCCAAUGGCACUGCCCGGUAGCUAAAUGCGGAAGAGAUAAGUGCUGAAAGCAUCUAAGCACGAAACUUGCCCCGAGAUGAGUUCUCCCUGACUCCUUGAGAGUCCUGAAGGAACGUUGAAGACGACGACGUUGAUAGGCCGGGUGUGUAAGCGCAGCGAUGCGUUGAGCUAACCGGUACUAAUGAACCGUGAGGCUUAACCUUACAACGCCGAAG